rnacentral:rRNA from 1 species
AACGAACGCUGGCGGUAUGCCUAACACAUGCAAGUCGAACGAGACCUUCGGGACUAGUGGCGCACGGGUGCGUAACGCGUGGGAACCUGGCCUUAGGCUCGGAAUAACUCCUCGUAAGGGGUGAUAAUACCGGGUAAUGUAUUCGGACAACAGAUUUAUCGUCCUUGGGUGGGCCCGCGUUGGAUUAGCUUGUUGGGAGGGUAAAAGCCUACCACGGCGUCGAUCCAUAGCUGGUCUGAGAGGAUGAUCAGCCACACUGGGACUGGGACGCGGCCCAGACUCCUACGGGAGGCAGCAGAGGGGAAUAUAGGACAAUGGGCGAAAGCCUGAACCAGCACGGCCGGGUGAGUCAUGAAGGCCUUAAAGUUAUAAAGCUCUUUUACCCGGCAUGAUAAUGACAGUACCGGGAGAAUAAGCUCCGGCUAACUCCGCG